UAAUGCUAAGACAUGAAAAAAAAAUCCAGCUUCUUCCAUCAUUGUCUCAACUCCUCUUCUGCAAGAGAGAGGAGAGACCAUUCUUCUCCCAAGAUACCCCCUCGCCAAAAUGUCCCCGUCCAUCGUCCCAUUCGUCGGCUUCCUCAUUAUCUGUCUGUGACUUCAUCCUGUCACGUUUCAUUUCUUUCUGUCCUGUUCUAUACUCUACACUUUAAACUACAGUCAGUUCAACAGAAGGAUACCUCUGCAAUGUGAGAAUGCAUUGAUUCAUAACAAGCUCCUAAAAAGGAUGAGGACCAGUGCCAGAUGAUCCUGCCAGGGGGCCACACCCCCCGAUCUCUAUACUAGGUUGAUUCAAACUACUAAACAAAUACUCACUCUGUAGACAUAGUGCAGUGUUGGCCUGAAUAUAACACUACCCUGAUUAUAAGACAACUCCGUUUGCUAACACCAUUUGUUGGACUAUAGUCCUGUUGGGAAAGUUUUCCUUAGUCACAGUUAGUCCAAGGAUAAGAGACUCCUGAUCCCUCUCUCUUUCAAACCUUAAAUACUUCCAUCAAAGCAGAAUAUAAGUUGUGUGGCUUGUGUGACAUCAUCAGGACAGCCAGUGACAUCGGUAAGUCUUGGCUGCUCGACACAUGAUUUGGUCUUUGUCACCUGUCAGGCAUGUAUUCUCUCUGUGGCAGUAAAACAUGUAGCUCCAAAAGACACACUAUAAAUGGAAUUGAAGAACCUCACUAGCUUAGCAACAAUAAGGCUACAAACAAGCCAUAAGGCCCUUAUCGCUCCCCUUUAUGUUGUGUUCAGACCACUAUCUCUAGAAGUGCGAUCAGGAAGUAGCAACACCUUUUUGUAGCAAGGUGACAAGUAAGGGUGUGGAGGUCGGGGUGGCGGGUGGACAUGUAACGCGUCGGACCUUCAAGCAGGAAUCUAGAGCCUGUGUCCCGUCACAGACAAGCAAUUAAUGUUAAUUUUUUAGUUUUUAACCACAAUCUUUACCUAGCCUUAACCAAGUGUUUUAGUGGCCUAACCCAUAGCUUGGCCGUAAUUUGCCAUAACGAUGAUCUUUUCCUGACCUUAAAUAUAACGAAGUUGUAGUCGCAUCAGUAGAUAUUAUAAAAAAACAAAAAAAAACUGCCAUUGGAUGUAAAAAAAAAGGUUUUCACUGAGGAUAUCCAAGGUUUUGCAGGAUAUUUGUUCUUGUCUUGUGAUAGGAAUUGAUGUGCUUUAGUGUUGCAUGUUACCAAACAAAUUUGCUAUUUUAUUUUAUUUUUUGCUCCAAAAGAUCUUUGAAGAAGGUGUAUUGGCUACCCAGUGACAAACCACACUGCAGAGGCACCCUUACAAAUUAAUUUUUUUAUUUAAAUGAUUCUGCUUCUGCACCCUGUUGCCAAUGUUUCUCUCCUUUCCAUUCAUUCACAACUCAGGUAACUCUUUCUCAAUCUCUCCCUCUGAGCCCCUGUGUUCCUGUUCAGCCAUGUGUCCUCAAAGAAGUACUGUAUGUAUGAAAAAGGGAGAGAUAAGAAGUCGAGUUUUCCUCUCUUUUCUGUCCCUGUUUAUGCCAUGUGCUCUGUUUUGCCCGCCUCCUUCAAAAAUGUUAUUUUGCUUUCCUUGUCCAACUGUGCUUCCUGUCUUCUCCUUGUUUCGACUCUCGUCUUUCGACACUCUCUCAAUAACUGUGUCCGUCUUUCUGUGAGACUUUAUCCCCCCCAAUUCACCAUCCAUCCCCCCACCCUUAGUCUCUCACAGCAAAAACCAAAAAGGAAUUGAGCAAAAUUGGAGCACCUCUGCACCUAAAAAAAAAAAAGAAAUGUUUUGUGAAACACUGGACGUCACCAAGGAGGAAGACAGGAAUGGACAUUUAAAUGAAUGAAAAAGACUGCAAUGAUGUAUUGUAGAUUGGGAGGAGGGGAGAAAUGUGCAAUGAAAUAAUGUGUUCUGAGUGGAUUGUCAGCCGAGCAGCAUCAGAGGGAAGAGAUGGAGGAGGAAAAGUUUGGGGAAGACAGAAAGGUGUGGUGAUGAUGAGGAGGAAAGAAAGAAGCAAAAUCGCUUCCCAUUGCUGAGUUUCUAACUCCCUUUCUCCACAAGAAGAGGAAAACAAUAAACUUUGAAACCGCUGCUCCUCCAUCUCCCCCAAUAGGAUUCACUGUAGAAAACGGGAAGGAGAUAGAGAGAAAGAGAAAAAAAAAAGAUGUGUGGUAGGAAUCAUCACUGACACUCUGACCAGAACGUUUUCAUCAUCUGUGUGACACAUUCAUAUGCAACCUCGCUGACGAUUCCAAUGAAGAAAAUGGUCACAAUCACAUAUAAGCUAUUGUAAGAUGGGAGAAAACAUUCCCAGCUCUUUUGAAUAGAUUUUCAGAGCAAACCACAGCAUGGAUGCUCCCAGCGUAGCGGCCAGAGGGCCUAUGACAGACUUGGAUUUGGAAACCAUGCAACAAAGAUGCCCUCUAUUGUAGUUGUGUUGUUGCUUUACUCUUUUUAUUUCAAGAAGCUUUAUUCACAACUGUUAAUUUCCAGUGGAUGUUCCAUUAUUUUGGCACUCAAAGCACUAUGCAAAGUGAAGGGUGGUCCAUCGUGAUGUCUAACAGCUCAGGCAGAGUCUGAUCCACUGCUGGCGCUGGGCUCUACGGGCCGGGCUGCCCUGCUGAUCUCUGCUGAGCUACAGGACCUCUAACAGCAGGCUAAAAUGUACUCAUACAUAUCAGAAAACAUCAGCCAUAUCACAUGUAUAUUUGACAUGAUCCUGAUCCUGUAUUUGAUAUCAUCUGAAUCUCCAGGAGACAGUUGACAUCUUGCGUUUAAAUACUGAGAUCUCAGCAAAUGUCAAAGAGCCAGUUUUCACCUUGUGAUGGAAUUAACCCAAAGACAGACACAUGGAUGAACGUACCAGUUGGGGUGAACAGAAGCCCUCGAAGACAAGAAACUGGCCGUUACAUCUACUAAAGAAAAAGGAGUUGUCACUGAAAACGAAGAUAUGAUCGACCCUCUUUCUCACUCUCUCUUUCCCUCUCGAGUGUUUACGGUAUCUUGAACACCCCCUUCCCUGCAUCUCAGCAUCGCUGCUGCUCUUCCUCUUUAGCAAAAUGCAUGGCAUGAAUGAAACCAAUUAAAACCCGAAGAAAGACAGUCAAAGACACAAUGGAUGGAUAUAAAAAAAGGAGGGAGAGAGAACCGAAGGAGUCCAUGAGAGAGAACAUAGAUUUGUUUUUCACGUAGCAAUGUCAAUGCAAAGUCAUCAUCAUCCAAGCUACUUUUUAACCCCCAAACUGGCUGCUAAUAUGUGCAAAACAGCAUCUCCUGCAGCUAACUGCUCUCUCAGAAGGCAUGAUGGAUGAGGAGGAGCUCCCUCCCCCUCUGAGGGAAAGAGGGAGGGGGGAAGGAGAUUCUGCAGACCAUACACUCUAUACCUCUGGGGAUGUGGGGCAAGAAGAUAGAGGCUUUUUAAAGAAAGCAGGUAUUCAGCAGCAGCGGGAGAACAUCUUUGAGAAACUAUUCUAGGGACAAAAAAAUGGCAACGAUUGCAAAUAAAAAAUGCAUUUUUAUGACAUUGUUUACCAGCAUGAAUAUUCUGCAUGACUUCUGCAAGCCAUUCUGAUCCCACCAUGAAUAACAGGGCUCAAAAUUGAGAAUUUAAACAUGAAAAUUUAACAUAAAUUAUGUCAUAUGAAACUUUUUUUUUUUAUGUAGGAUUAUGUUAAAAAAAAAGAUUUUCCUAAUUUUCUUUUUAAUGAUAAAACUCAAAUAAUUAAGAAAAAAGGGUUGCAACGUCCAACCUGUUUUGUUUUCUCUAAGAAAUCUUAGGAGCCCCCCACCCCACCUCUUUAAAAUCCAAGAAGACUCCUCCAAACUUCUGCAAGUAUUUAUUCUGCUACUACAAGUUUGUCUACUACUACUUCAACUUCUCACCUGACUGCUACUCUGCUUCUUCUUCUUCCUCCUCUUCUUCUUCUCUUUCUUCUUCCUCUUGUAGCCUUUUACCAGAACCCUUAUACGUAUCUCUCUCCAAUGGCAGCUGUGUGUUUGUGUCACAAUGUGGACCCAGGAUUAUCAAACUGAUGUUGAACUGAACUCUGCUGUCCACUCAGAGAUGUCAUUGAUUCUGUGUAUUUCAAUUGAAAAUGUAUGUUGUCCCAUUCUUUGGAACUUUUUCUUGACCUUGAUAUCCAAGGCACCACUAUACUUUCAAGGUUAGAAAUGUUAUCUGCAGUCUGGGGUUAGAUACAGGUGUGUAACCCACACAAUGAUCCAGGCAGGUCUGAAAAUGUACAAGAUGGCUGCCUCUUCAUCCAGCAAUAGCUUUUUGUAAUUUCCUUUAAGAAUCCAUUUAGUUUUAUCAGUUUGGGUUAGGGUUAAAAAAAAAAAAAAUCCUAUUGUAUGGGAUCAGGAUUAGCGUUACAGGUUAGAAUUAAUUCAUUAUGUACAGUAUGGGGUUAGGGUUGAAAUUGUAAAUGUAUUUUGUAUGUACCACUGAAGUAUGAACAAACACAAUGCCGUAGCCAGGAAAAUCCCCUCAGCUCAACCAUACCCACCCAAGGAAAUUUGGUGGCCACCCAAAGUCUGUGAGAUUUUCAAGCAUUCUAAAAAAAAGAGACAAAUCCCACAUUUUAUGUAUUAAUUUACCUUUCAAUUAUAUUAAAUGUAAUGUUUUCUCCAUACAUUAUGGUCUGAUGUCAGGAAUAAAAAGUUAUUAUUUUUUUUUUUAAUCAACAAGAAAACAAAGAAUCCCGCACAAAAUUCAUACAGAAAAAAUGUUUAUCUGCAUGAAUUUUGCCUGAUGAAGGUCUGAGAACCAAAAGGUCAUGUUAAUAAAGUGAGGUGGACAGUGUGCGGAAUUAUUUGGUUUUCCUUUCAAGUAAAGAGUUUUGGAUCCUACGCACUUGUCACUAAGAGUAUAUGGUGUGCACAAACCUUUUAAAAAAUUGCGGCCUAAAAACAAUCAAAUUUAGUCAAAAAACGUCAGAAUCAGCCUUAAAAAACAACAACUGUAGACUGCAAACAAUUUUUUUGUCAAAUACAAAUUACGUGACCUCAAUGGCCAUGGACCUGACCAAACACAAGGAAAGACAAUAUGUGGUUCAGGAUAUUUGAGGGCCUCAUGGAAAUAUCUCACCUCAAAACAAAACAAAAAAAAGAGGAUGUCAUCUGCAAAUGUUUGCUCCAGUAGCUUUUUGAUGGUGUAGCUUUACCAAAUCUGCCCUUUGAAUCACACAAUUCCAUAAGGAAUCAACAUGAUUUAUUAACCCUACUUGAAUUAGCUGGAAUGUAGCCUCAAUAUUGCUUAGUUAAAGCUCCCAUAUUGUUUCCCAAGAGUUGCUUGUGAAUAUAGCCUUAUUCAAAGUGUAUUUAUUUACUGAAUGAACUUAAUAACACUACUGAAAUAAAAUGUUAUUGAUGAGCUCAACAACACAAUGUGCGUCAAAAAUCACACCAUAUCUUAUUAGUGUCAAAACUUGGUCAAAUUGGAACACAUCAUAAACAUGCUGCUGAAGUAAAUGCAACUAGUACUUCCAGUGAUAGUGGUAUCUAUGAUGUCCUUUGUGGAAAAACUUCCAUAAAAGCGCUUAAAAAUCUGAUCCUCUCAACAGAGCAUGUAUAGUCCUGUUAACAUGACAAUUGGUGACAUCAUUUAGUAGCCUAACUUUAAGCCCAGCUAAAACAUGUAGUAGUAUACACCUGUAAAUGAAGGGAGUGAAAACUGAGCAGAGACAACCCAAGGUUCAGCUGCUAGAGUCGAUGCUUUCCAGUUUAUUAUUCUUGAAAGUGACCCAAUUUUAAAGACUUUAGUAAUUGGUUGGUUAGAAAAUAUGCAAUAAUUCCAAACAAAGUCUCAUUUAAACACUGUGGUUAUGUAUCACAAAAUAGGUUGGGUCUGUCAUCUGCUAAUGCAAAGUGGUGAGACAAUUUAGGAGCAGAAGAGACAGCUCAUGUACAGCUCAUUUGUCAAACCAGUUAAUAGAUGGACAACAGCUCCUGGUGGUCCCCCGAGGGUGAGAGGCAGCCAUCUUGGCUCAAUGUGUUCAAACAGGGUUGGCCGAGUACACAUACCACCAGAAACAGUGGAAGCAAGGAUGUUCUGCUGGGCUGUGGGGAAACUAUUUUUUCACAAAAGAUUUAGAUUUUUUUUGAAGAGAGAAAUGCACAGAAAAAUAGAAAGUCCUCCUGGACAGAUGUGUAUCUCAAAAAAAGCUGUAGUUUGUUCUGGUACUUCUCAUUAUUUGUCUUCUCAUGUCUUUAUUAUGCAUCUUAUGUGAGGAUUAAUAUUCAUUUUUGAUGCUGCUUAAUUUAUUUCAAUUGCUCUGUAUUAAUUGGUAUUUGGUUUAUUAGGGCCAUGUGGGGCCACACUUUGGUAAAGUUGUUUGAAACUUGUAGGUAUGAAUGGAUUACCGAACGGGCAUAGGGGCUCCCGAGCCAAGAAUCUCUGUUUGAAGAGGCUGAUACCGUCUCUUCUUGGUAAUUUAAUCAUAGACUACAAACAGACACAAGACAACCACUGAGACUCAAAAUGACAACAAGAAGACACCACAAAUACAAACACACAGAGAGUGGAAGUUUGGGGGGCGUUUUACAUGUGUGUGCUCAGGAGCCCGUUGUCUCAUAAGCCAUCCAUGUGUGUAGGUCUUUCAUUGUGUGGCUACAACAAACAUAAAACUUAAAUAUUUCCAUUUAUGGCUUGUAACCUAUUAAAAUAAUUAUCUAAUGCUAACAAAUGAAAGAAAACAAACAUUGAGGAAAUGUGUCCAGCUAAUUGCAGACAAAUCUGCACUCUCCUGUUGUCACUGCUUUUGCUUCAUAAGCCAGAGAAGUUCAUCAGCUGUACUUCGCACUUUUCAAUAAGGGCUAUCAAGCUAAACAAAAGUCUACCCUUGGGAUUUCUGUUCUGGACCCUCACAAAAUGUGGUCAUAUGUACCGUGACGUGUUUAACCAUCGUCACAUUGCUGGGCUGCUAGGGGACAAAAUCUUCUUUAAGAUGGAAUUGAAGACCGGCAUUCUUUGUAUUGAUAUGAAUUCUGACACUGUAACCCAUCUCAAUUUUUAUUUUAGCAAUUUAUGCAAGAUUUGCCUGGUGUGCUACUAUACUUAGUUUAUCUAAGAUACAUAUGGGUUUAUAUGUGCAGUAAAACCUUUCUUUAACUUUGAAUAUCUUCACCUUGUUAUUGAGCACAUUAGAAAAAGUCCUGCGCACUUCAUGAAUUGCAGAUCUGGACAGUCCUAGGAACUCCCAGACUUCUUAAGUUAAGGUAACUUAACUUAAGGUAACUGUGGGAAUGAUCUGAGAACGGAUUCAGCCAAGAUCUGGUUGCUCACUGGAAAGACUCAAUGGUUUUAGCUCAGCUCGGUUUUAUUUCUCUAUAUUUCAGUCAAGCUUCAGUCGAGUAUUUAUUAUUUAAUUGUGUCUAGCAUCAUGCAGUGUAAGAACAUUUGACAUAACAUAUUUUGAGGAUUAAUAAACAUUAUAAAUUGUAGCAUUUACAGUAUAUGCAGCCUCGCGGAUUUAUUCAGAUAACUUCAAGGGCUCUGGCUGAAAAAGACUUAACCCCCAGCUGGUUACAUAUCAAGUUCGGUAUCAAGAAGGUUAAUAUUUGGUAUCAAUACUCUUUUCAGGCAUACACACUUUUGUCUGUAUCAUUCUGGGGGACAAAUAACAGAAAUCAAAUCAAAAACAGGGCCUAUCUCAGGGAUACGCUGUAUCAAAGAUCUGAGAGGUGGAAUAUUGAGAUGUUAUGAUGCUGCAGUAUGUAUUUUCAGGAAAGUUUUAAGUUUCACAUAAUAGUUUCGAGGGAACAUUAUGAUAAUUUCAAUGAAUGCAGACUGCACUACUUGAAGCCUGGAAGUAGAUUGUUCUGUCCUUUCAGUCUAAACUGUGUCCUCUUGUCCUUCCACACUGCACUAGGUGUCAUUGCUUCCAGGGUGUUCUUAUGUAUGUGGUAUUUACUGUAUGUGACAGGAAUUGGUUCUGAUAUUUUAUAUCACUUGUCUUCCUAAAGGUAUAAAGUACAGCCUCAGAAAUGUCAAAGAAAAAUAGCCUAUCAUGUACUGUACCUGUGGCUAUACCAAGGUGAACGCAACUUCUCUCAGUGUUGUUCAUUUUGUUGGUUCAUGUCAGCAUUUUCUUUUGUUGCUAAAACUGUAGUUUUUGGUUUAUAUGUCAUAUAUUUUGUAUUUUGUAACACAUGCAAUUAUGAUGAAUUAUGAUCAUGAGGAUUAUAUCAAUGGAUUGAUACAUGCUUUUAUUAUUUAUUAUGUAUUUAAGCAUGCAGUGAACAUAAAGAUAGCCUAUGCACGCACCAGUCAUUGAGCUGUUGGAGAACAACUGGUUAUGAGUCUCUUAUAUGUGUGGGGGGUUUAGUCAGGGGGGUAAAUGUAAGCAUCAUAGAUAUUUGAGAUAGAAGACUUUUAACCUGGAUAUACACCUGUCACUGCAGAAUGAAUGUAUACAAGGGGAUUCCUACCUUGGCCCUAACACCUCACUGUAGAUAUACAACCUGAAGCUUUUCCAGCAAUAAAAUAGUAUAUGAUUGAGCCAACAAUGUUAAUAGACACUAUUGCCAAUCAUGCUCAUUAAUUAGUGUAUCGCUAACUAAAGGCUGUGUUAAUGAGAGGUUUCACAAAAAGAAAUGCAAGUGAAGGUUCUUAAAUGUAAUGUAGCAUUAAAAGCAUACCUAUUGAUCGUUUAUGAAGUUGGUAUUCUUGUGAGGGACAGAUUCAGAAAAUAAGGGUGAAAGUUGAAGCAGCUGAGGCCAAGACAGUCUGACCUUUAGCCCCUAGCAUGGGUCAAGCUCCAACAAUGCUGGACCCUACCAUUCCCAUAAAGCAACUUUACAAUGUUAGUCAUUAGACCCUUGCUGCCUGGUGAACACUCACAUCUUUCAAACUCCAUGUUUGCAACGUAGGCUCAGUUAACAGCAUUCUCAAACUAUUUGGUGUAAUGCAAGUGUAGCAAGUGUAAUGAAGAUUCAUUCUGUUAAGAUUAAAUUAGUUGGUUAAGACAUCACAGAAAGCCUGAUGGUCCAACCAAAAACUGUCCUAGGUUGUUGUCUCACAGUGUGUCUAGAAGCUGCAAAAGCUCAUUAUUUCACAUCAAAAAAGCAAACAAGUACAACAUUUGCAAAAACGUUUAUUGACAUUGAAAGGUUGAACAAUCUUCAAUCCUCUGGUGCCCGGCACAAAUGAUCUUUGUUGGUAGGUAGUUAGUGUCUCGCAUGUCUUGUUUGAUACUCAAAAGUAUGGGGAAAAAAUGCUUCAACGGUUCAUGGGAAGUGGGUACAGCCCUGCAUCACAAUAGGAUCAAACCUGCUCCCUCUUAAGGCAUGCAGCCUGAGAAACCAAACUAAAUAAGUCAUGAUAGAGACCGGUAGGGCAGUAGAAGAAGAAGAAGAAAAAGAAGAAGAAGUGAUGGCUGCGCAGUUCUAGAAAGACAAAUAGAAACCUUGAUUAUUCCACUGCAGUGUAGUGGGGACAGAGCAAUAAUGGUAUAAGUUAUUCUUUAGGGUUUUGGUGGUGUUGUUGGUUGUUGUGUGCGUACGACUGUGUCUAAGAAUGAUUGUGUUUGUCUAUAUAAAUUACUUGUCUGUAAAAAAAAAAAAAAGGAAGCAUGCUGUGCAAACUGAGCUAAGCCACACCCCUGUGAGAAGCUGAGCUAACCAAUAGUGCAACUUUACUUGAAACCCAAACGACAACCAAACAUAUCAGGACAAGAUGCAGAGGAGUGGCUCGCCCACUGUCACACCCACCAUCUACCUUUAAUGCUGAUUGGAGUUUUAAAGGCCUAUAAGUAUUUGAAGAAGCCGCGAGCAAUCUGAUGGUGGGUGGUGAAUCAAACAUGGCAGAAAUGGUUGCUGCACAGCUCUCUGUGGGUUGUUGUACGUCUAGCCACAUCCCAAAUCAGUGAUGUCACAGAGGGGGUUCCCUGGUGUGCAUCAGUGAUUGGAGUGUGGUCAGCAGUGUUUGAAAGCAUGCAGCUGUUUACUGCUCUGUGGAUUUACCAUCUAAACUUGAAUGAACACAGCUAAACUCAAGUUAAGACUAAAUAUAAUAUCUAGCAAGCAAGCUAGUUUAUCCAGACAGUGUAGGCCAGUGAAGCUAAACCAAAACUAGCUAACCUUGGCCUUAGAUUACUAUUCACUUAAGGUCCGCUGACCUUCAGCGGCAUCUUAUGGUCGUCGUAAAAGGGAAUAAGUGGACACUUACAUUUGUCUUGGCUAGCUAAUGUUGCCCUCGCUCUACUACGCAACAAUUUGGAUGAAUUACAGAAAUAACAUCUCAAGAUCCUCAAGUAGACCUUAAUUUAAAUUAACCAAGGCUAUCUAGUUUCUGCCAAGCUCUACUUGUCUUGAUGACGAUGAUGUUGUUAGCUAGCCUGAAAUUCUAAAUCUAGCUAGCUAGUCAAGAAUAUUUUGUAAAAAUACUAUUUCAAGCUGAAGAAUGAACUUUCAUGAUCAACGUAGAUAAUGGUGUGUUUCAGUUUAUAGCUGGAAAGUUAGGCUCUAAAACUCCAGUCUGUGUUUCAUGCAGCGACCUCUCCUCCUCUCCAUCCCAUGCUCCUCACCUCACCUCUCUCUGUCUCUCUCUCUGUCCUUUCCUCCUCCUCCUUCCCUCCUCUUCCUUCAGUUAUUUUGAGGAAGAAGCUUCUUUUUGCAUCCCUUGUUCUUGUGUUUUUCUAACCUAUUUUUUGAAAAUGAAUUCUAAAUGCAUGCAUGGGAAACUUUAAAAUGAUGACUUUAACUUCUUUGCGAAUGGCCAUGUGAAGGGAAGCCUCUCCUCCAUGGAAAAAAAAAAGUCCUCGUCUUUCCCUCUUCCUUUCUCUGUCAGGUCACAAUAUACAGUGUAGAACCCACAAAAUGAACAUCCUUAAACAUCCUUGAUUAUUUCUUUAUCAAUAAUUCACUUUUUUAAAUUCCUGCUUCUUUUCGUGCAGGCAUAGACACUUCACUGGUAUAGCCACUUUUGACAGAGCAGCAGACUGUGAUGGGGUCACUUUCUGCAGGCAAACAGGCUCAGUUUCAUGAGUCCAGUCAUGGUUUUCCAGAAGCUUUCAGCACCAGUGUUGAGGUUUUGGUGCUUCCUUGGAAAAUUCUAAAUCAAUUCUUAAUUUGUCUGUGCCACCAUUUCAGAACAUAUCCUUAUCAUAUGUGUGUGUCAUCUUUCUCUUUACUUUUAAAACUGCUUUUACAACUUUUUAACGAAUCAUGAAUACUGAGGUCAUGGAAAACUUCCAUUUCCAUUGUAAGACUUCCCAUAACCUGCCUGUCUGCUCAGCUUAAUUCAAUCUGUUGUAUCAUUCAUUUAACAGAACAAUACAUCAUGCUGUAAGUCCAGAAGCAGCUAUUUGGCAAAACUUAGAUAGACAAUCGGGGUCCAUAGCACUGUCGACCGAUUUAUUUAUUUAUUAGUCAGUUAAUCAAUUGAUUGGUUGAUAGUCGAGUUGGUCUGUGUCCGCUGGAAAGAUGCAGAGAAAAAAAGGAUGACAGAGACAGAGAGGAGAGAGGCUUCCCUCCAAUAAUAAAUGGGGUUUAUGCUAUAAAGACUGAUGUUGGAUAUAAUUUUAUUGUCACUACACUGGAGAGA